rnacentral:rRNA from 1 species
UACGGGGGGGGCAAGCGUUGUUCGGAAUUACUGGGCGUAAAGGGCCCGUAGGCGGCCAACUAAGUCAGACGUGAAAUCCCUCGGCUUAACCGGGGAACUGCGUCUGAUACUGGAUGGCUUGAGUUUGGGAGAGGGAUGCGGAAUUCCAGGUGUAGCGGUGAAAUGCGUAGAUAUCUGGAGGAACACCGGUGGCGAAGGCGGCAUCCUGGACCAACACUGACGCUGAGGAGCGAAAGCCAGGGGAGCAAACGGG